rnacentral:rRNA from 1 species
CCAAUAGCGUAUAUUAAAGUUGUUGCAGUUAAAAAGCUCGUAGUUGAAUUUCGGGAUUAGCAAGUUGGUCGUGCCUUCGGUAUGCACUGGCUUUGCUGAUUCCUCCUUCUUGAAGAACUGUAAUGCUAUUAAUUUAGUGUUGCAGGGAAACAGGACUGUUACUUUGAAAAAAUUAGAGUGUUUAAAGCAGGCUAACGCUUGAAUACAUUAGCAUGGAAUAAUGAAAUAGGACGUUUGAUCCUAUUUUGUUGGUUUCUAGGAUUGACGUAAUGAUUAAUAGGGAUAGUUGGGGGCAUUAGUAUUCAAUUGUCAGAGGUGAAAUUCUUGGAUUUAUUGAAGACUGACUACUGCGAAAGCAUUUGCCAAGGAUGUUUUCAUUAAUCAAGAACGAAAGUUAGGGGAUCGAAGACGAUCAGAUACCGUCGUAGUCUUAACCAUAAACUAUGCCGACUAGGGAUCGGAUGAUGUUAAUUUUUUAAUGACUCAUUCGGCGCCUUACG